rnacentral:lncRNA from 1 species
AGAGUCUCGAGACUUCAAAUUAUGAGACCUGUGUUCCAGAACCACCACACUGAGCUGUAAUGCUUAGCAGUGCCUCAGAGCAGUGACACUUAGCUGUGACACUGAGCUGUAACACUUGGCCAUAGCACUGAGCUGCUCUGCUCUACCGCAAUAGUAUAACUCCUUCAUUGUUUCCACCCAAUUCUGUCUUCUGGUUGGGAUCUGACCCCACUAAUGGCUACUUCCAACCUUUAAAUGGCCUGCUUUGUGACAUCAUUCAACCACGAAACCUACUACUACCUGGAACAACCUUGGGGUUUGCAAGGAGCUGUCUGUAAAUAAGUUUGGAUCAUUACAAGUGACCUUCACACUUGGAGUCAACUCUUUGGCUUCAGUCACCCAGACAUUCUCUAGUACCUUCUCCUCAAGGAUUACAUGUACAAUUGAUGUUUGCUUUUCUCUGACUAUGUAAGUGAGAGGAAUUUCUCCAGAGCCAGAAACAUCCUUGGGACUGCAAGCCCGAAGUCCCACAUAGUGUCUGCCAAAACCUCCAGGAUUUCCCAUGCCCGGAGGUAGCAGAAGUAUCCAGACUCUUGAGAGGAGUCCACCCCAAGCCUGGGGAAAGUUUAAUGAAAGCUCCAGUACAGAGUUCUCAUCUCUUGGCACUGGUUCCAAGCCAGGAACAAUCAGAAACGAACAGGGAUGAGAUGGAAACCAAGCUUUCAAAGCCUCUGGAUGCCUACCAGAUCCUACCAGGUGAGCAAGAUCUUCCGCCACUCCCCUUAGCAGUCCUUGAAUCUCACAAGCUGCUGGCCCCCAUUAAACCUCUGAGCCAAGAAAUGCCUGGUCUGAAGAUGCCCACUACGGAAAGAACUGCCUGACUCUCAAGGACACAGGGACACUUGACAAGGGAAGUGAGUCCAACCCAGAUUGGGCAGAUGUUGCUGCCCUGGUGGAAGACAUUCACUUUCCCCAAUUUUUCCACUCUUUGGAUGCUCUUGAC